rnacentral:rRNA from 1 species
AUUGAACGCUGGCGGCAUGCUUUACACAUGCAAGUCGAACGGUAACAGGCCGCAAGGUGCUGACGAGUGGCGAACGGGUGAGUAAUGCAUCGGAACGUGCCCAGUCGUGGGGGAUAACGCAGCGAAAGCUGCGCUAAUACCGCAUACGAUCUCUGGAUGAAAGCGGGGGACCGAAAGGCCUCGCGCGAUUGGAGCGGCCGAUGUCAGAUUAGGUAGUUGGUGGGGUAAAGGCCCACCAAGCCAACGAUCUGUAGCCGGUCUGAGAGGACGACCAGCCACACUGGGACUGAGACACGGCCCAGACUCCUACGGGAGGCAGCAGUGGGGAAUUUUGGACAAUGGGCGCAAGCCUGAUCCAGCAAUGCCGCGUGCAGGAAGAAGGCCUUCGGGUUGUAAACUGCUUUUGUACGGAACGAAACGGUCCGGGUUAAUACCCUAGGCUAAUGACGGUACCGUAAGAAUAAGCACCGGCUAACUACGUGCCAGCCGCCGCGGUAACAC